CCCCUCUUCCUCACCCGACGCCACCGACCACUCGCUCCCCACUCGCCCCCGACCUCUCUCUCUCUCGCACGACGCCCCCGCUCGCCUCUCUCUCUCUCUUGCGCGACGCCGGCCACCAGUCGCCUCUCUCUCGCGCGCGCGGCGCCACACUCUCCCCGUUGAUGCGCCCUCUCUCUCCCUCUCGCCGGCAUCUUGCUCCGCACCGCCGCUCACCGCUCCCCACCACCCUGGUUCACACAAAGCUGCCAUUUUUAUUCGCCGGCGAUGCGCUUCUGGGCGAGGAGGAGCUGGAUCCACAUGCGCUGGUCCUCGAUCUGCUUGUGGAUAGGCGAGAGGAGUCGCUGAAGUGGAGCCCGAGCGGCGCCGGCGCGGGCAUGAAGACGACGGCGGGAGGAGGUGGAGCCCGAGCGGGAGGACCUGGAGCCGCAUCUCAAGUAUUGAAGCUACCCCGGCGACGCAACGACGCUUGAUGUGGAGCGGCGCUUGAGCAGCGGUCGGUGGUCAUAUCCACGGCGACGGCGCCGCCGCCAAAGUUCGUUUCCAGCGACAGCAAAGAGAUGUACUCCAUCAGAGGAUCAAAUGAUCAGAGAGAGGAGAUGAACCUAGGCACCAGCCGAACCCAGCAGCAGCUCCUGGACGUGGGAGAGGAGGAGCGCCUGCGCCUGGAUGCAGUGGCCGGAGGUGGGUACGGAGGUGGAGAUGGAGGAACAGCCUGUGCUCGCCUCCACCUGGGCGCGGGUCAGGAGGAGCCCCUGUGUGUGGGCGGCAGCAGAGCACCAGCUCUACUCCAGCGGCGGCAGCGCCUGGGCAGGGGGCGGAGGUGGAGAUGGAGGGCGGAGGUGGAGAUGGAGGUGGAGGGCGGAGGUGAGGGUGGAGGUGGAGAUGGAGGUGGAGGGCGGGAGCGUAGGUGGAGGUGGAGGGCGGAGGCGGAGGUGGAAGACGAUCGAUCGGGAUUCAAAUUUUGAAGGGAGGGUAUUCAGGUCAAUUGUCAGCUUUUCACCUGGUUGGAACAGAAGCCCCAGCGACCUAUAUUUUGGUACGGAGGGAGUACAACAAAAAUGUUCUAGAUGAAAUGGAUUCAAAUUUCUUGGUAAAGGAGUGCAAAGUACUGGAGAAAAAUUCAAAACAAAUUGAACAGAGCAAAGUUGGCGCCCCUCCACUUCUAUAAGAUUAUUCUUUUUAUUGCCUAAAA